AGACCCAGGAACAAAAAUUCGACUCCAAAUUUGCAAUUUGGCACUUGCUGGGCC
rnacentral:tRNA from 1 species